rnacentral:rRNA from 1 species
AUAUCAAUAAGCGGAGGAAAAGAAACCAACAGGGAUUGCCUCAGUAACGGCGAGUGAAGCGGCAAUUGCUCAAAUUUGAAAUCUGGUCCCUCUCAGGGCCCGAGUUGUAAUUUGUAGAGGAAGCUUCAGUGAGGGUGCCGACCAAAGUCCCCUGGAACGGGACGUCAUAGAGGGUGAGAACCCCGUCCGGUCAAGCGUCCAAACCAUGUGUUGCUCCUUCGACGAGUCGAGUUGUUUGGGAAUGCAGCUCAAAAUGGGUGGUAAAUUUCAUCUAAAGCUAAAUAUUGGCCAGAGACCGAUAGCGCACAAGUA